AGUGAAAGGAGGAUGACGUGUCUGCGAAGGGGGCGGCGGUCGUCGCUGAGCAGCGCAUGCCGCUUUUUCCAACUUGAUCUACCCGUGAUCGUCAUUGUGACACGGGCAAUAUUCAGGAUGGAGGUUUGAAAGGAAGCACCUGAGGGCAGCAGGUACUCCAGAGGUGACAGCUCUUCAUCCAUGACCGCGGGAGCAACUCGCUGGGAUCUGAGGAGAGGGGCACAGAUCUUUGAGAUUUGCUUUUUGCUUGUUUCCUCACUCUGAGGUUUUUUUUUUUUCAUAUCCCAAGGUUUGAAUACACUUCAUGACAGUUGCA